rnacentral:rRNA from 1 species
UGAGGGAAUAUUGGGUCAAUGGGCGGUAGCCUGAACCAGCCAAGUCGCGUGAGGGAUGACGGCCCUACGGGUUGUAAACCUCUUUUAUAAGGGAAUAAAGGACAUCACGUGUGAUGUUUUGCAUGUACCUUAUGAAUAAGCAUCGGCUAACUCCGUGCCAGCAGCCGCGGUAAUACGGAGGAUGCGAGCGUUAUCCGGAAUUAUUGGGUUUAAAGGGUGCGUAGGCUGUUUGUUAAGUCAGGGGUGAAAUACCGCAGCUCAACUGUGGAAUUGCCUUUGAUACUAGCAGGCUUGAAUACUGUUGCCGUGGGAGGAAUGAGUAGUGUAGCGGUGAAAUGCAUAGAUAUUACUCAGAACACCGAUUGCGAAGGCAUCUCACGAAGCAGGCAUUGACGCUGAGGCACGAAAGCGUGGGGAUCAAACAGGAUUAGAUACCCUGGUAGU